AGGGAUGUAGCGCAGCUUGGUAGCGCGUUUGUUUUGGUACAAAAUGUCACAGGUUCAAAUCCUGUCAUCCCUA
rnacentral:tRNA from 1 species